rnacentral:rRNA from 1 species
AGAGUUUGAUCAUGGCUCAGAGCGAACGCUGGCGGCAGGCUUAACACAUGCAAGUCGAACGGGCAUAGCAAUAUGUCAGUGGCAGACGGGUGAGUAACGCGUGGGAACGUACCUUUUGGUUCGGAACAACUGAGGGAAACUUCAGCUAAUACCGGAUAAGCCCUUACGGGGAAAGAUUUAUCGCCGAAAGAUCGGCCCGCGUCUGAUUAGCUAGUUGGUGUGGUAAAGGCGCACCAAGGCGACGAUCAGUAGCUGGUUUGAGAGGAUGAUCAGCCACAUUGGGACUGAGACACGGCCCAAACUCCUACGGGAGGCAGCAGUGGGGAAUAUUGGACAAUGGGCGAAAGCCUGAUCCAGCCAUGCCGCGUGAGUGAUGAAGGCCCUAGGGUUGUAAAGCUCUUUUGUGCGGGAAGAUAAUGACGGUACCGCAAGAAUAAGCCCCGGCUAACUUCGUGCCAGCAGCCGCGGUAAUACGAAGGGGGCUAGCGUUGCUCGGAAUC